UACGUAGGGGGCAAGCGUUGUCCGGAAUCAUUGGGCGUAAAGCGCGCGUAGGCGGCUAGAUCAGUCUGCUGUAAAAGUCAAAGGCUCAACCUUUGAAAGCCGGUGGAUACUGUCUAGCUAGAGUCCGGAAGAGGCGAGUGGAAUUCCUGGUGUAGCGGUGGAAUGCGCAGAUAUCAGGAGGAACACCAAUAGCGAAGGCAGCUCGCUGGGACGUUACUGACACUGAGGCGCGAAAGCGUGGGGAGCAAACAGG
rnacentral:rRNA from 1 species